rnacentral:rRNA from 1 species
UCCAGACUCCUACGGGAGGCAGCAGUGAGGAAUAUUGGUCAAUGGCCGGAAGGCUGAACCAGCCAAGCCGCGUGAAGGACGAAGGUGCCAAGCAUUGUAAACUUCUUUUGUCAAGGGACAAAAUCAGGCUCGAGAGCCUGACCGAGGGUACUUGAAGAAAAAGCAUCGGCUAACUCCGUGCCAGCAGCCGCGGUAAUACGGAGGAUCCGAGCGUUAUCCGGAUUUAUUGGGUUUAAAGGGAGCGUAGAUGGGUUGUUAAGUCAGUUGUGAAAGUUUGCGGCUCAACCGUAAAAUUGCAAUUGAUACUGGCAGCCUUGAGUACAGUUGAGGUAGGCGGAAUUCGUGGUGUAGCGGUGAAAUGCUUAGAUAUCACGAAGAACUCCGAUUGCGAAGGCAGCUUACUAAACUGCCACUGACAUUGAUGCUCGAAAGUGUGGGUAUCAAACAGGAUUAGAUACCCGAGUA